GACAGAGGUCCCGAGCGUUAGGCGGAAUCACUGGGCUUAAAGCGUGUGUAGGCGGACUUCUAAGUACCUUGUGAAAUCCCACGGCUUAACCGUGGAACUGCUGGGUAUACUGGUUGUCUUGGGCCACCUAGGGGCUACUGGAACAAACGGUGGAGCGGUGAAAUGCGUAGAUAUCGUUUGGAACGCCAAUGGUGAAAACAAGUAGCUGGGGGUGUGCCGACGCUGAGACACGAAAGCCAGGGGAGCGAACGGG
rnacentral:rRNA from 1 species